AUAAGGAGAGAAUAUGGAUGAGGGAUAGCAUCUGGUACUGGUAGUCUGCUCAAGCGGUCUUCAUUAAAAAUGAAGCUUCUUUGUUUUGCAUACAUUUUCAUUUCUGUAAAAUAUCAUUACACAUUUAACUUUUUAGGUGCAAGAAAUUGAAAACUAUGAGCUGAAGAAAAUCUUUAGCCUUAAAUUGGCAUAUUCGGAAAGAACAGGUUAUUCCAGAUUGAGGAUUAAUAUAUAGAGAGGGGCUGGCAUAUGUUAUUCCUACACACCAAGAGGAAGGGAACAAGACCUUUCAUCCCUCAAGUUAAUCAGAUUCAGGAAAUCCUAGAGUGCAUCAAUCUCAGCAUAUAAAAUUUCCAUUUAGAGAUAACAGUUCAUGAUGAUAAAACAUGAGAUCACACAUAUUGGGAAAUUUUUUAAUGUAAUUAACUUUUGAAGUUUGGAUUAAAAAAUUUCUAAGAUAGCAAAUGCUAUCUAUAUUCAAUAAUUUUCUAAGAGUACUGAUACAACAAUUAAGUGCAAACUCAACUAUCUUUUUUUUUUUUAUGGAAUAACCAUGGUAUUCGGGUCAGCUUGCUCCCACUCGACUAAUUCCACAGGAUACAUGCCACCUACCACCAUCAGAGUACCAAGUAACUUUGUCCACCAAGGCUUGGACAAAUGAGAAGAAAUCACCUAGCGUUUUUGCCUCUACUGGAAUUUGAACCUGAGACCUCAUGGUUCUCAACCCACUUCAUUGACCACUAGAUCACACCCUUGGGUGUCAAACUCAACUAUUUGUUGCACAAAACAUUAAAAGGAUGCCGAUUAUAAAUAUUCAACGGAAAAAGAGAUGUAUAUGCUUACAGAUCCAAGGCAUAGACCUAAGACAACCAGACAGAUCAUAAACCAAGAAAAAAAAAAAGCAUAACAAAGGUAUGAAGUAUCAGUAACUAAAAAAUAUCAACAGAACUCAUGGACCAUUAAGUGGAAUGUGGCUCACAUUACUAAGUAUGUAAUUACAUUUUCACACCGAGAUUUUGAAACAACAUAGAAAUGCAGAUUUGCUAUUCUGAAAGUGAAAGGCCCCUAUCAAAAGACAACCUGCACACAGAUGCGAUAAGUGCAUAAAAUAUAUACCAAUUUUCUUCGACCAAUUUCAUAACAGUUCUCUUCGCUUUUAGAUAAAAAACGGAACAUAUCUGCACAGACUUGCACAUACCAAUAAGUUGUUGCCUUGAAAGAGCCGACAUUUGAAAUAGCACAUGAGCAAAAACCAAAAUCUCAUAUAUAGCACACAGCUUACAAUAGAUUCAAACCAAAUUUUAAGCAAAAAAGUGAGCAGGACAAAAUUUAAGUAUCUAAAAACAGAAUACUUGGGCUUGUUAUACCCUGAAAUGAAAGAAAGUGAACCUUUCUUUCUUUUUAUACCUUUGAAAGAAAAAAGAAUAAAUAGCAUAACAUUUUUUGUAUACCUUCUUUGGAAUCAAUUUUCUGGUGUUAGAUCAGAAAUCCUCUUCAGCACAGAAACAUUAUGGAGGAUAUUAAGCAUUUUCAGCCAAAAUAAUUUGCCACUGGGCUUACUCCUCUGUGUGUUGUGCUAUCAGUACAUUAGAUUCAACCGUCGGCUACAAGCAACCCUCACUUCACACUAUAUAAGCCAUAAAACUUUAUAUCUAAGGGUUACAUAUACUCAAAUCAUAAAAAGCAGCAAAACCAUCACAAUAAUACAACAUAAGCAUAAACCAGAAAACCUAAAACUACUCAUACAUUAAAUGACUAAAGUCUCAACAUGACCUUGAUCCUACCAUAUAGAGCUACCAAGGAAAACAAUUAUAAACGAAAAAAAAUAAAUCAAGGCAUCUUACCUCAACUAUUCAGAAACCACAUCAUUCCUUUAUCUGAAUUCAUAUGAACAGAAUGUAAAAAUGAAGUAUCCUGACCCCAAAACACUUCUUAAUAGAUAAAAAUCCUGUCUUUUACAACAAAUAACAAAAAAAAAUUUAAAAAAAUCCAGUCUUUUACUCUCUGUACAAAUUUCAAACAAAUUGCAAUAUGCUUCCUAACCCAACUCGCUAAAGAGAAGAACAAUAACUUUAAUAGAGUAAUUUAACUAAAAAAUGAAAUUCUUGAACUCAAAUCUUAGGAUCAAAAUCAUACCCAUAAAUCAAAAUACACAAACCAAACACAACAUUAUAAUCUCAAAAUUAUAACUUAAACUUCCGAACCAAACGACCCCGAAACUAACAAACAACCCUUAGGAUUCCAAUAUUAUUUAGAGCCAAAUCUUCUACUUCUACUCCUCUCCCGUCUCAAUUUAUGUGCUAAUAUUAGCUUUAGUCUAAUUUUGCUUGUAAAUUUGAAUAUAAUUUUUCAAUUUUCUUAAAAUGAAAUUGAUAUAUUUAAAAAUUAAAUUAUUGUUAAUUUAAAAUAUAUAUAUAUAAAAAAAAUAGAAUUAAAAAUAGACUAUUUCGGAAUUCGAAAACUAUCACAUUAGGUUUAUACAGCUAUUCUGUAUAGCCAAAAAUAUACUCAUAGGGUAAAUGUAGUGUUAAAUAUUACACUAAUGUCCUUAAAAGAUUAACCAUUGUCCAUUAACACUAAAUUUUUAAGAAAGUUUAUUUAAAAUUUAUGUGACAUUUAUUAUUGAUUAUAAUUUGAUAAAUUAAAUUAUAUAAAAAAAUUACCAUGGAAGGUCGAUAUUUUGUAAUUCUUUUUUUUUAUAUACUUUUGGAGGUCGAUUUAUAUUUUUUUGAUAUCUUUGGAGGUCAAUUUUUUUUCACAAAAUAUAAAUUUGAAGAGAAUAAGUAUUGAAAAACCUAGUAAGAGCUUGUGUGGGUAAGUUAAAAAAACAGGUUAGUAAACUUAUUGGGGUUAUAGUUUCAAAUUGAAUCGGUAAAAAAAAUAUUACGUGAAUUCUAAAUAAGCUCUUUUCAAGUUCGAUGUUGAUGUUUGUCAUAAGUGAGCCAAAAAUAUAAUUAGAGGAAUAUUCUUAGUAAAAUAGACGGACAAAGAAUAUAAUACACCUUUUGCGAGAAUUCAUAGACAUUGUAGAUCCUCUUCAUUUAACAAAAUUACACAAGUAUACAACUGACUCACUAGGAGGAUUUUUAUUUUUUUUGGAUUUCCCAUCCAGACCCAUAUUGAAGCCCGACUUAAUUUGGAUUUGCACAGAAAAAUCCCAUAUUGGGUGUAAAGCGCUCUCUAACAAAGGCGACUCCAUAUCUAGGGGACUCGAAACCGAGACCUCUUUCAACUUGUGAAAAAUUUCUGCUAGUACUCAAAAGUACCAAUGAUAGUAAAACCUUAUGAAAAGCCUAACAGCUAAAAAAUAGUCCUGAGGACAAUCUUGCAUGAUGUUUUAAGGAGUAGAAAGCAGAACAACUAAUAGAAGGCCCAUCAAUCUGCCUUUCUCCUCUUCUAGGCUCUCAUGUAAAUGCAAUUUCACACAUAAAAAGAAAAAAAAAACUUUAUAACAUCCAACAAGAUAGCACUUCAACAGUUAUUACAGAAAAUGGAGGAAACUGUGUCCACAGGACAAUUCAUUGUGCACAGACCAAUAGCAGCUAACUGUUUAUUGCAAAAGAGUUCCCAGAAACAAACUGUUCGAACUAAAAGUAUCUACUAAGGGUUCACCUCAGUAGAAGAGCACUGCAGCAGAGGCAGAGGCUUUUGGUGCAUUCAAUAGCCUCUCUUCAUAUUCACAAAUUUUAGAGGUUUUUUUCUUUGCAAAUAUCUUCAUUUUCUUUAACACCAUGGAAUGCCUGAGCAAAUAUUCCAAAAACUGAAUCACAAAUUUCUUCUUUAUGAGACCAGCUACCUCCACCGUCUUGAGGUGAUGAAUCAUGCACUGGACAGGAGCAUCUACCAUGUUCCAGUAUUCAUCCGCGUCAAACUUAUAUAGGUGAUACCACGAUAGUUGUUUCUGAAAUAAGCACAAGAGCAAAUCUCCCAUAAAGAGUUGUACCAACCCAAGUAUAACAGACACUGAAUAGUGUACUGUCCAAACAAACAUUGCAAGAACACAGUUAAUAACAAGAGCAAUAAAACAAUUAAAUUUUGUCAUACUUGGGAUGUAAAUUCAUUGUAAGAAGAAGUAAUUUUGAUGAUAAGAUUCUCCAAGCAAGGACAGUGCUUCAGCAAGUUCAGUAUUCCUGGUAGAUUCCAUAUCAUAAAAUCUAAUUGAAGAUGAAGGGAUUUGCAGCUGAAGGUUGGAGAUGGUAGAUUUUUCAACUGCCACGCAGAAAAUACCUAGGCAGACAAAAAUUAAACAUAAAAGUCAAAGAAACUAAACAAAUAGAGAUUUUUGAAUUGAGCUUAAUGAACAAUGUAAGACUUGUGCUGACUACCACACGGUAAGUAACAAAAGCCUUUAAAAGCAGAUUGCACAAUGUACACGAAUAUUGACAGAUGCCUGAGCCUGAGACGUUAAAGACAAAACCCAACGCCAUAGCCCCUCUAAUCCAGUUUAUAGUUAGUAUAUCACCCUGGAGGUUAAAGUAAGAAAUCAUAACUAUACCUGGAGAAGUUGCGAAGAAAGAGAAAAAGUGCGUACCAGAGCAAACCAGGAACAUAGAUUGAGAGUUUUGGCCCCGGUAAAUGUUUGGAGGAAUGUUUUGAUCCCUUGGUAAUCCUUGUACACAUCGAAAUCAAAUAUCAGAUUGCGAUUGACAGACACUUCAGCAAUAGAUGCUACAUUUGCAAUAUCCAGCACCUCCACAGCUCCAGACAUAUCUAAUGAUAGGAGAGUUGGACAGGAGACAUGUAUCCUUUGUCGAAACCAUCCAAUGUCAAGCUUCAAUGUCUUUAAAUUUGAAUUGAGUAGAACCACUCUUAUAUGGCCAUAGCAAAGCUGCAAUGUCAAUUCCUCAAGCAUCGGGCAACCAGAUAGAAUAUAAUCCAUCGAUUGAUCCAUUAGCACAACAUUAUUAAGAUAUAAUGUUUUUAGAGACUUCAGCUUACUUUUCUUUUUUGCAUUUAUCGUACAGUGUGUCAACCAGAGUUCAACCAAAUGAGGACUGCUUAGAACACAAUUAGGCAGAUCAUAAAGAGCCUGUGGCCCAACUGUACCAUGCUCAGAGAAAGACAAGUCAAGGACCUCCAAAUUCUUAUUUAAUGCGAACUGGAUCCAGGUACCAAUUUCAUUAGCCAUCCUUUUCUCACUCCUCAGGAAAUCAUAGUACUGCCAUAUGCCUGUGCUGUUGGAUGUUCUUUGCCAAAAUGAAUAAGACAAUCUAAAAUGAAACUUAAGGCAGAACUUAUGAAUAGUUGGACUUUUACUACGAAGAAGCACGUGACGAACGGAGUGCACAAACCUUUCGUCGUAGUCAGGACGACCAGCUUCCAAAUAAUAGUCACAGUCAUGUUCUGGAAACAUGUAUUGAUCAAAAUUGAGUGUGUGGAUGAAUGGCCAGAGCUUAUGAAAUCUUCUACUUGCGUUACAGAUUCCUUUGACAGCAUCCUUUAAUGGCAAUAAGGAGAGAAUAUGGAUGAGGAUGUCAUCUGGUAGUCCGCUCAAGCGGUCUUCAUUCAAAACACAACUUCUUUGUUUUGCAUACAUAUUCAUUUCUGUAAAACAUUAUAACACAUUUUAGGUGCGAGAAAUUGAAAACUUUGAGCUGAAGAAAAUCUUUAGCCUUAAAUUGGGAUAUUUGGAAAGAA
rnacentral:lncRNA from 1 species